rnacentral:rRNA from 1 species
AUGCAAGUCGAGCGGUAGCACAGGGAGCUUGCUCCUGGGUGACGAGCGGCGGACGGGUGAGUAAUGUCUGGGAAACUGCCUGAUGGAGGGGGAUAACUACUGGAAACGGUAGCUAAUACCGCAUAACGUCGCAAGACCAAAGAGGGGGACCUUCGGGCCUCUUGCCAUCAAAUGUGCCCAGAUGGGAUUAGCUAGUAGGUGGGGUAACGGCUCACCUAGGCGACGAUCCCUAGCUGGUCUGAGAGGAUGACCAGCCACACUGGAACUGAGACACGGUCCAGACUCCUACGGGAGGCAGCAGUGGGGAAUAUUGCACAAUGGGCGCAAGCCUGAUGCAGCCAUGCCGCGUGUAUGAAGAAGGCCUUCGGGUUGUAAAGUACUUUCAGCGGGGAGGAAGGCGAUAAGGUUAAUAACCUUGUCGAUUGACGUUACCCGCAGAAGAAGCACCGGCUAACUCCGUGCCAGCAGCCGCGGUAAUACGGAGGGUGCAAGCGUUAAUCGGAAUUACUGGGCGUAAAGCGCACGCAGGCGGUCUGUCAAGUCGGAUGUGAAAUCCCCGGGCUCAACCUGGGAACUGCAUUCGAAACUGGCAGGCUAGAGUCUUGUAGAGGGGGGUA